GCUUGUUAAAAAGACUCAUGGGACCCACCCUCAGUGCUUCUGACCCCGUAGAUCUGGGCUGGGGCCUGGUAUUUGCAUUUCUAACAAGUUUCCGGGCAAUGCUGCUACUGCAGAACCAGGAACCACCCUUUGUGGACCACCAAUCAAUAUCCAACGUCAUUGUUUUCAAGUCUGAUGGCUCCAUCUGCAAAUCGGUGAGAAAACCAUCUCCACCUUCUUGGAAGGGGAGGUCACCUCUGAGAAGAGCUGGAAAAGCUUUUGCCAGGCACUACCCGGGAGUGACCACCAGGCGAGUGCAGGUGGGAGAGUCUGCUGGGCCGAGAAGGUCGCAUCACCUAGGAUCGGGGCAGGAGGCAUCUGGGGAGGACAGCAGACAUAAACCUGUUCUGUGACUGUUUCUCCUGGUAACACCCCCCCUCCACAGCGGGGGCAUGAGAUCCAGCCUGGACCUGUCAGAAUGCUUUGUCCUCAGACAGGUAUGUUAGGGGACCUGGAGCAUCCUGGGGCCGCAUGCUCGUCACACAGAGAAAGCUCAUCUGUGGUAAGAGAAGAUAAAGGUGAUGGCAAAGAGACACAGACAAAGAUAUGUUUCAGCCCCUGAGUUGGCCUCUCGAGGGGAUGCCCCUUCACCCCUUCCUCUAUCAUCAUGAUUCCAUUGG
rnacentral:lncRNA from 1 species